GCGUUGUCCGGAAUUAUUGGGCGUAAAGCGAACGUAGGCGGUUACUUAAGUUUGGUCUUAAAGACCGGGGCUCAACCCCGGGAAUGGACCGAAGACUGGGUGACUCGAGGAUGUUAGAGGAAAGUGGAAUUCCAGGUGUAGCGGUGAAAUGCGUAGAUAUCUGGAGGAACACCGGUGGCGAAAGCGACUUUCUGGGACAUUUCUGACGCUGAGGUUCGAAAGCUCG
rnacentral:rRNA from 1 species